AUCCAGCUGACGAGUCUGGAAUAGAACGAGACGCGCGUCAAACUGGAU
rnacentral:hammerhead_ribozyme from 1 species